rnacentral:rRNA from 1 species
GACGAACGCUGGCGGCGUGCUUAACACAUGCAAGUCGAACGAUGAAGCCGGAGCUUGCUCUGGUGAAUUAGUGGCGAACGGGUGAGUGACACGUGAGUAACCUGCCCUUGACUCUGGGAUAACUGCGGGAAACUGUAGCUAAUACCGGAUACGACCCUCGGAGGCAUCUCCUGGGGGUGGAAAGAAUUUCGGUCAAGGAUGGACUCGCGGCCGAUCAGCUAGUUGGUGAGGUAAAGGCUCACCAAGGCGACGACGGGUAGCCGGCCGGAGAGGGUGACCGGCCACACUGGGACUGAGACACGGCCAAGACCCCGACGGGAGGCAGCAGUGGGGAAUUUUGGACAAUGGGCGCAAGCCUGAUCCAGCAAUGCCGCGUGAGUGAAGAAGGCCUUCGGGUUGUAAAGCUCUUUUGUCAGGGAAGGAACGGUUGUGGCUAAUAUCCAUGGCUAAUGACGGUACCUGAAGAAUAAGCACCGGCUAACUAC